AGGUUCGAUCAUACCAUCACUAAUGCAUCGGAGCCCAUCAGAACUCAAUAGUUAAGUGUGCUUGGGUGAGAAUAGUACUAGGAUGGGUGACCUCCUAGGAAGUCCUCGUGUUGCAUCCG
rnacentral:rRNA from 1 species